rnacentral:piRNA from 1 species
AGUCAUUAUUUUCUUUGUGUUACUAUGAGC